CGUAGGGGCGAGCGUUGUCCGGAAUUAUUGGGCGUAAAGCGCGCGCAGGCGGUUUUUAAGUUCUGAUGUAUAAGCCCAGGGCUUAACUUUGGGAGGCAUUGGAAACUGGGAGACUGGAGUGUAGGAGAGGAAAGUGGAAUUCCACGUGUAGCGGUGAAAAUGCGUAGAGAUGUGGAGGAACACCAGUUGGCGAAAGGCGACUUUCUGGGCCUAUAACUGACGCUGAGGCGCGAAAAGCGUGGGGAGCAAACAGGAUU
rnacentral:rRNA from 1 species